GUUUUUAAUGAUGAUCAAACCUAAAUAUAACGACAUCGAAAACAAAAACCUUUGAUAUACCAUGAUAUUUAUAAUGAUAGGACUGAUAA
rnacentral:snoRNA from 1 species